GAACUUAAGCAUAUCAAUAAGCGGAGGAAAAGAAACCAACAGGGAUUGCCUCAGUAACGGCGAGUGAAGCGGCGACAGCUCAAAUUUGAAAUCUGGCCACAAGGUCCGAGUUGUAAUUUGUAGAGGAUGCUUUUGGCGAGGUGCCUUCCGAGUUCCCUGGAACGGGACGCCAUAGAGGGUGAGAGCCCCGUACGGUAGGACCACCAAGCCUCUGUAAAGCUCCUUCGACGAGUCGAGUAGUUUGGGAAUGCUGCUCUAAAUGGGAGGUGUACGUCUUCUAAAGCUAAAUACCGGCCAGAGACCGAUAGCGCACAAGUAGAGUGAUCGAAAGAUGAAAAGCACUUUGAAAAGAGGGUUAAAAAGUACGUGAAAUUGUUGAAAGGGAAGCAUUCAUGACCAGACUUGGGCUUGGUUGAACAUCCGGCGUUCUCGCCGGUGCACUCUGCCAGUCCAGGCCAGCAUCAGUUUGCCCCGGGGGAUAAAGGCGGCGGGAAUGUGGCUCCCUUCGGGGAGUGUUAUAGCCCGUCGUGUAAUGCCCUGGGGCGGACUGAGGAACGCGCUUCGGCACGGAUGCUGGCGUAAUGGUCAUCAAUGACCCGUCUUGAAACACGGACCAAGGAGUCGUCUUCGUAUGCGAGUGUUCGGGUGUCAAACCCCUACGCGUAAUGAAAGUGAACGUAGGUGAGAGCUUCGGCGCAUCACCGACCGAUCCUGAUGUUCUCGGAUGGAUUUGAGUAAGAGCAUACGGGGCCGGACCCGAAA
rnacentral:rRNA from 1 species